rnacentral:rRNA from 1 species
UUUUAGAUCUAACAAAUAAAAUUAGUUUGAAAGAUUAAGUAAGCAAAUCAUUGUGAGGAUAGUAAGUUUAGUAAAGGGUAAUGAUUAAAUUAAGAAGUGAUAGUUAAAGUACUGAGAGGGAAGGUUGAAAUAAUUAUAGCAAAGAGUAAAGUAGGUGAAUGCCGUACCUUGUGUAUCAGGGCUUAUCUAUUAGAGUGAAAGAGUUUAUAAUCCCGAAGUGAGAAGAGCUAACAAGUCAUAAGAGUUGAAGUAGCAAAUUCAUUUUACAUGGCUUGAUAGUAGUGAAAUAUUAGUCGGUUCUCAGAAUUUCUGGUUUCCCAAGAAAUGAAUUUAAUUCAGUCCCAGGAGGCUUGUUACCAUUAAAAGUAGCUUGUUUAAAGGGGAAAAAUAUUGUGGGGGAUGAGCUCCAUAAUAAGACUAGAACUGAUAAUUUAAAAGGUGGAGUAGGCUUGAAAUUAGCCAUCUGUGGAGUGUGUUUUAAUUCAGCUUUAAGAAAAAUAAUUUUAAGUUGUUUAGAGUUUAUAUUGGGACGCGAACUUAAAUUUGUAAGUGCGGGGAUAAUGAUAAGAUUAUUAAAAAUUAAGGUAAAGUGAAUGAAAGGACAGAUUUAGGUAAGGAACUCGGCAAAGUUGUGCUCGCCUGUUUAUCAAAAACAUCGCCUCUCGGCGUGAUGAGAGGUCUAACCUGCCCACUGAAAAUUGAAGGGCCGCGGUAUUUUGACCGUGCAAAGGUAGCAUAAUCAUUAGUCUUUUAAUUAAAGGCUGGUAUGAAUGGUUGGACGAGGUACAAACUGUCUCAUUUGAAACAUAAUUGAAUUUAACUUCUUAGUGAAAAGGCUGAGAUGAUAUUGGAGGACGAGAAGACCCUAUAGAUCUUUAUAAUGAAGGGGUUUGGCAAGUUUGGGAGAAGCUGGGUUAAGCUCAUAAAUUAUUUUGUUGGGGUGACAAGAAGAUAGAAAUAACUUUUCUUUAUUGAGAACAUAGAUUUAUGAAUAAAUGAUCCGUUAAGCGAUUAUAAGACUAAGUUACCUUAGGGAUAACAGCGUAAUCUUCUUCGAGAGUUCUAAUCGACAAGAAGGCUUGCGACCUCGAUGUUGGAUUAAGAGUUACUUUGGGCGCAGAAGUUCAAAGUUUAGGUCUGUUCGACCUUUUAACUCUUACAUGAUCUGAGUUCAGACCGGCGUGAGCCAGGUCGGUUUCUAUCCUCAAUUAAAUUCUGCGCCUUAGUACGAAAGGACCGGGCCCGAGAGUUAGACUUUUAAAUUUGAAUAAUAGUA